rnacentral:rRNA from 1 species
CAAUAGCGUAUAUUAAUGUUGUUGCAGUUGAAAAGCUCGUAGCCGACUCUCGGGGCGGUGUCAACGGUCCGCAGAAAUGUGAGCACUGUUGUCUCCGCCUCUUCCUUCUGGACACCAUGUCUUCUCUUAACUGAGCGGAUGUGGGGGCCGAGAUCGUUCACUUUGUAACAAAUUAAGAGUGUUCAAAGACAGGCCUCCGCCUGAAUACUUGAGCAUGGAAUGAUAUCAAUAGGUCCUUCCUCCCCGUUUACUUUGGUGAUGGGGAGGGAAGGAAAUAGAGAAAGGGGAAGUAGGUUGGGGGCCGAUUCGUACUGCAGCGUUAGAGGUGAAAUU